ensembl:lncRNA
GAGAAGUAAAUGGAAAGUUUCUGAAUUUAUUUUCCUUACUGGAACUCCUUAGAUUAUGUCAUUUUAAAAACUGUGACACCGAGCUACAAACGUGGUGAACGGUCUGGAGGGAAAAACAUAUGAGGAGUAGCUGAGGUCCACUGGUCAGUUUGUUCAGCUAAGAGGAGGCUGAGGGAAGGCCUCAUUGUGGCUUACAGUUGGACUCAGUGAUCCUUAUGGGUCCCUUCCAAUUCAGGAUGUUCCAAUUCAGAUGACUCUGUGAUUCUGUUAUUUUUAGUGUUGCUUUUCUUUGUGUACUGUGGGUUGGACCCCAUUCAUUUUUUUUUUCCUCAUUAUACAAGAACUCCAGCAUAAUUCUAAAAAGGCUGGUAAGAAGUUCACAAAUAAGGAAUUGAUUUUAAAUACAAUUUUUUUAAAACAUCUGCUUGAUUCUCAGUGUAGUUUUGUAUUUUGCAAAAUUAAGAUAUUAUCACUUAAGUUGAUUAUGAAAACUCUAAAAGCAGAUAAAAUUAGGAAGAACUUAACCAGAAAGAAUGGAAAUCUACCCUACUGGUACCAGUUUGGCAUUCACAAGUUGAUUUUUAUAAAUCUUCAGUUGACCUUUUUGACAGGAGCCUUUUGAAGUUCAGUGACAAUGAAUAUGAAGCUCUGUACCUGGAACUGAGGAACUGCUGUUAAAGCAUGGGCUGUGGCUUGCCAGGCUGGGGAGCAGCUCUGAUCAAAGCAGCCUAGUGGUCUGGCUGGACCAGUGUGUCUGAUCAUGUUACUUCUUGUACCACAUCUGCCUUUUGAAGAAGGGAGGGGGGGAAGCCACAUGUUUUCAGGCUGUGGAACUACUAAAGUGUCUGAAUAAAGGAAUUAUUGGUAAAAAAUCUUUCAGAAAUAAUAUUGUGGAAGAAACUACUACUGAAAAACAAUGAGGUUUCUGCUCAAGGUUUUCUAGUCCUGACAUAACAUGGUACUGUUCAUUAGCCUGACGGUUUCUGUAUCAUGCAGGUUUGUGUCUGGCCAAGAAGGUGCAUGUAUAAAGAUUGCUCCUACAAGUCUGUAUCUGUCUGCAGAGCUGAACCUCAAUUAUCAUAUCUGACAAAGAAUAAGCUGUUAUUAUAGUAAAAAUUACAUGGGAGGUCUUUAAAAUAAGCCUUCUCCUUGCUGACUGACAGGAGAGGCUGAGUGGCUUUAACAUAGUGCACCAAAGUGUAUUCCUGAAUUGGUUUCACCUUUAUUUCAGAGAAACGAAAAGGAUGAUCAUUUAAUAAUUUCAUAUAAGCGUUGUCACGAUCAAGGGAAGAAUGCGAUUCAUUUAAAUUUGGAAGAGAAUCUGAGUGACUGCUUUGCAUCAGUAAACUUCAGAGUGCUCUGUAAUUCAUCGUGCUCAACAGGAAGAAAAACAAGUUGAAGAAAGUGAAUAUAUAAUGCUGUUAGAACAGUUUUGAAUUUAGCUGAACUUUACUCUUCAGUUCACUGACUGGUGUGACAUUAAGAACACAAGAAAGCAGCACCCAGAGUGCUAGCCUUCAACAAUGGUUACUGUAGUCCUCAGAGGAAAGGAUUUGAGUGCUUACUGGGAGGACCAGCACAGCUUCUUCCCAGGAGAUCCCGUAGGCCACAUGGGGACCGUAAGAUAAGGAACACACAAUCACGUAGGAGAAGUCUGAUUUAAGGGACCCCUGUGACUAAACACUGACAGUAUAACACAGGAACUCUAGCAGAUGUGAGACUAAAACUUAACUCUUCGAGGUAAUGCAUACUUUUUUUUCUGCAUUUCUUUGUCACUUUCUUUAUACAUUUCAGUUUCUGUGAUGAGUGUUGUGAGUGGGAAUCCUCUCCACUGCCCUGGCUUGUCCUUUGAGCUGGCAGGUAGUUGGCAUUGAAAGAAAUGGAGGUGCCAUUGGUGGAAAAAAGUGUAAAUUUUUUCUUUCUAAUCUUUUUUUUUUUUUUGUAAUAUAACAAUAUAAUGGCUUUUAUUUAUCUAAUUUGUUUUGGUAUUUUUUUUCUUUCUUUCUUUCUUCUUUUUUUUUUUUUAAGUGUUGUCUGUAAAAAAAGCAUAAUGCAUGUAGAAGUGUUUUAUUCAAACCAGGCAUCUCGUGCAAGAUUUUAAACCACAGCAAGUGACCAGCAUGCAGAUGGCAGUAACAGACCAUUGCCACGUGACUGGGGCUGAUGGAGCUCAAGGAAGAUGCUGGGGACCUUUCGUUUGACUCAUGUUCAUCCUCUGCGCUGUAUGAUGCCAGGAAAACCUUCUCACUUCUGCUUGAGAGAUACAUCAGAAGAGGAACAAUCUGUUGGGGUCUGCUGAAAAGAAAAAGGAGCUGACUGUAUUGUGGGGUUCAAAUAGCUGUAAUCUGCAGGCAGAUUUUAUUGAUUGUUUCCCUCCCUUUCUUCCCUAGAAGCUCAGCUUUUCUAGAAGAGAGUAAAGGAUGAGGAGUUAUGCUGACAUUUGGAAAAGGGCUAGGAAGUUGACCUGUGUUCAACAUAUCUGCCAUAAAUGAAUGCUCACCAUGAAGUAGUGCACCCACUGCAAGCAAUGCAGUGAAGUGUUCCAGGGCCAAGAGAGUUCCGUCAUGAAUUUACGGAAAGGAAUUACUUCAUCCAAAAAGGUCUGGACACCUUGAAACAUUCUGGUAUCUCUAAGGAGGAGAUGAUGCACCUUAGGGCUGCCUUGACCUUGCCUGGGGCUUGAUGAUCCUUGAGGUCCCUUCCAAC